GGCCUAGUAGCAUACGGCAUGCACCUGCUUAUAUUCAGCGCUCCCAAAAACUGAUGCAGGGGACCUCCGUUCGACUCGGGGCUAGGCCG